rnacentral:rRNA from 1 species
CCUACGGGUGGCAGCAGUGAGGAAUAUUGGUCAAUGGGCGGAAGCCUGAACCAGCCAAGUCGCGUGAGGGAAUAAGGCCCUACGGGUCGUAAACCUCUUUUGCCGGGGAGCAAGGGCCGGGACGCGUCCCGGCCCGGAGAGUACCCGGAGAAAAAGCAUCGGCUAACUCCGUGCCAGCAGCCGCGGUAAUACGGAGGAUGCGAGUGUUAUCCGGAUUUAUUGGGUUUUAAGGGUGCGUAGGCGGGCUUUUAAGUCAGCGGUAAAAAUUCGGGGCUGAACCCCGUCCGGCCGUUGGACCUGGGGGGCUUGAGGGCGCGAGAAGAAGGCGGAAUGAGGGGUGUAGCGGUGAAAGG